AUUUCAGGAUUACUCUCAUCUCCCCAUAGGAGACGGAAGCCAAACCGAUAAUUAUGUUCACCCUGAUUGAAAAAGGAGGAUCAAUAAAGAUCACUGCCGUGUUUUUGGAGCAUCCAUCAAAUGUCGUAAUCUGGGAGUGUGGCUCUUACACCGCCUCCACCGCCAGCACCUACCCCACCCAUCCUCAAGCGCAGUGUGCUUGACGAGGACAGCUGAGGCGCAGCCCGUCGGAGGGAGAGACUUCAGAGCCAGUUUUAGAUAUACAGUACAACAGGCUGAAACACCGGGAACGUUGCAUGCAGGCAGAGAACACAUGAGUCUACAGCUCUGAAGAAAUUGCUGAAAUUGAACAUGUCAUCACGUGAAGGGAGCUUAUGGAAAUGCAAUCGAGGGCUCAGUAAAAAUAAAAUAAAAAAAUAAUACCACC